CUGGAACCUAAAACAAAAAACAUGAGUUGCGUGCCAUGGAAAGGAGACAAGGCCAAAUCUGAAUCAUUGGAGCUGCCCCAGGCAGCACCCCCACAAAUCUACCAUGAGAAAUAGCGCAGGGAGCUUUGCGCCCUCCAUGCCCUCAAUAACGUCUUCCAGGACAGCAACGCCUUCACCCGGGAAACGCUUCAAGAGAUUUUCCAGAGAUUGUCUCCAAACACCAUGGUGACACCUCACAAGAAGAGCAUGCUGGCAAAUGGAAACUAUGAUGUGAAUGUCAUCAUGGCAACACUUCAAACCAAAGGCUACAAAGCUGUUUGGUGGGACAAGCGCAGGGAUGUCAGUGCCAUUGCUCUCACUAACGUCAUGGGCUUCAUCAUGAAUCUGCCCUCCAGCCUGUGCUGGGGUCCACUGAAGUUGCCUCUCAAAAGGCAGCACUGGAUCUGUGUUCGAGAGGUGGGAGGGGCCUACUAUAACCUCGACUCCAAACUCAAGAUGCCCGAGUGGAUUGCAGGCGAGAGCGAGCUCAGGAAAUUUCUAAAACAUCAUUUGCGAGGAAAGAACUGUGAACUCCUGCUGGUGGUACCAGAAGCAGUGGAGGCCCAUCAAAGUUGGAGGACUGAUGUGUAACAUGGUUCUGCCCAACCUUGCCCUUGCCUCAGCCCCUUCAGUCCUCUGUGAUGUGCUGUGGCCUCUGCUGUGGGUCUGCCCUUGCCACUUCCCCAAACAUCUCAUGGGGGCUUUCCCCUUCAGAUUUGACAGUGCAAUAGGACACAUGCAUGGACUGUUACAAGAA